rnacentral:misc_RNA from 1 species
UGUAGGAGCUGGCUUGCCUGCGAAGCAGACGGCUCGGUCUUUCAGAUAACCGAGGUGAUGCUAUCGCAGGCAAGCCAGCUCCCACA